rnacentral:rRNA from 1 species
AGAGUUUGAUCCUGGCUCAGGAUGAACGCUAGCGGCAGGCUUAACACAUGCNAGUCGAGGGGUAUAAGUCUUCGGGUUUAGAGACCGGCGCACGGGUGCGUAACGCGUAUGCAAUCUACCUUUUACAGAGGGAUAGCCCAGAGAAAUUUGGAUUAAUACCUCAUAGUAUAUAGAGUUGGCAUCAACACUAUAUUAAAGUCACAACGGUAAAAGAUGAGCAUGCGUCCCAUUAGCUUGUUGGUAAGGUAACGGCUUACCAAGGCUACGAUGGGUAGGGGUCCUGAGAGGGAGAUCCCCCACACUGGUACUGAGACACGGACCAGACUCCUACGGGAGGCAGCAGUGAGGAAUAUUGGUCAAUGGACGCAAGUCUGAACCAGCCAUGCCGCGUGCAGGAUGACGGUCCUAUGGAUUGUAAACUGCUUUUGCACAGGAAGAAACAACUCUACGUGUAGAGUCUUGACGGUACUGUGAGAAUAGGGAUCGGCUAACUCCGUGCCAGCAGCCGCGGUAAUACGGAGGAUCCAAGCGUUAUCCGGAAUCAUUGGGUUUAAAGGGUCCGUAGGCGGUUUAGUAAGUCAGUGGUGAAAGCCCAUCGCUCAACGGUGGAACGGCCAUUGAUACUGCUAAACUUGAAUUAUUAGGAAGNUAACUANAAUAUGUAGUGUAGCGGGUGAAAUGCUUAGAGAUUACAUGGGAAUACCCANUUGCGANGG